rnacentral:rRNA from 1 species
AGGAUUAACGCUGGCGGCGUGCCUAACACAUGCAAGUCGAACGAGGGGGGCAACCCCCGAGUGGCAGACGGGUGAGUAACGCGUGGUCAACCUACCCUAGAGUGGGGAAUAACUAGCCGAAAGGUUAGCUAAUACCGCAUGAUACGUUUUGGGACAUCCCAGGACGUUGAAAGGAGCAAUCCGCUCGAGGACGGGACCGCGUCCGAUUAGCUAGUUGGUGAGGUAACGGCCCACCAAGGCUCCGAUCGGUAGCUGGUUUGAGAGAGCGACCAGCCACACUGGGACUGAGAAACGGCCCAGACUCCUACGGGAGGCAGCAGUGAGGAAUUUUCCGCAAUGGGCGAAAGCCUGACGGAGCGACGCCGCGUGUGGGAAGAAGGCCUUCGGGUCGUAAACCACUGUCGAAGGGGACUAUACUGAAGGUACCCUUGGAGGAAGCCCGGCUAACUACGUGCCAGCAGCCGC